rnacentral:rRNA from 1 species
UGCAAGUCGUACGCUUCUUUUUCCACCGGAGCUUGCUCCACCGGAAAAAGAAGAGUGGCGAACGGGUGAGUAACACGUGGGUAACCUGCCCAUCAGAAGGGGAUAACACUUGGAAACAGGUGCUAAUACCGUAUAACAAUCGAAACCGCAUGGUUUUGAUUUGAAAGGCGCUUUCGGGUGUCGCUGAUGGAUGGACCCGCGGUGCAUUAGCUAGUUGGUGAGGUAACGGCUCACCAAGGCCACGAUGCAUAGCCGACCUGAGAGGGUGAUCGGCCACAUUGGGACUGAGACACGGCCCAAACUCCUACGGGAGGCAGCAGUAGGGAAUCUUCGGCAAUGGACGAAAGUCUGACCGAGCAACGCCGCGUGAGUGAAGAAGGUUUUCGGAUCGUAAAACUCUGUUGUUAGAGAAGAACAAGGAUGAGAGUAACUGUUCAUCCCUUGACGGUAUCUAACCAGAAAGCCACGGCUAACUACGUGCCAGCAGCCGCGGUAAUACGUAGGUGGCAAGCGUUGUCCGGAUUUAUUGGGCGUAAAGCGAGCGCAGGCGGUUUCUUAAGUCUGAUGUGAAAGCCCCCGGCUCAACCGGGGAGGGUCAUUGGAAACUGGGAGACUUGAGUGCAGAAGAGGAGAGUGGAAUUCCAUGUGUAGCGGUGAAAUGCGUAGAUAUAUGGAGGAACACCAGUGGCGAAGGCGGCUCUCUGGUCUGUAACUGACGCUGAGGCUCGAAAGCGUGGGGAGCAAACAGGAUUAGAUACCCUGGUAGUCCACGCCGU